rfam:Magnetococcus sp. MC-1, complete genome.
CGCGGGAUGGAGCAGCCCGGUAGCUCGUCGGGCUCAUAACCCGAAGGUCGGGGGUUCAAAUCCCUCUCCCGCAA